UUAGCCACAAAAUCCAACUCGCCGCAGAGCUCGCUCGCUCCCUCGUUCUCUAUAUCCCCUCCGCCCACCUGUACCCGCACCGCUCCCUCGACGCCGCCACGGUCUAUUACCUCUCUUCCGCCGCCGCUCUGGGUGGGUGCUUCCCUCCCCCCAGAUAAUGGCGUGCGCGCUUUCCACUCCAAUCCUUCGCCUCGAGGCGACUUCUUCUCGGAGGGCAUCGUGCGGCACGAGGCUGGAAAUCUGUCGAGGUUUAGACUUCUUAGGAGCGAGAAGGAAAUACCCCUGUCAAAUUCUAUCCUACAAAAAUCCUUCUUAUGUGGUUCGGACCAUGGUGUUGCCCGCUUCACGCCCAAUUCUAGAUAAUGAGGAGGAAAGAAAGCAGAUGUCUGAAAGAUAUGGCUUUACACAAAUUGGGGAACCACUUCCAGAUAACAUUAUGCUGAAAGAUAUCAUGGAUACACUGCCUAAAAUGCUAUUUGAAAUCGAUGACAUGAAAGCAUGGAGGUCAAUUUUGAUAUCGGUGACUUCCUAUGCAUUGGGGAUUUUGAUGAUUGCAAAAGCCCCAUGGUAUUUACUUCCUCUAGCUUGGGCUUGGACUGGCACGGCAGUGACAGGGUUUUUUGUGAUAGGCCAUGACUGCGCUCACAAGUCAUUUUCGAGGAAUAAAUUGGUUGAAGACAUCGUGGGAACCCUGGCAUUUUUACCCCUAGUAUACCCAUAUGAGCCUUGGCGGUUUAAGCAUGAUAGGCAUCAUGCUAAAACAAACAUGUUGUCAGAAGAUACUGCUUGGCACCCUGUAUGGCCAGAGGAGUUCAACUCCUCCCCUCUUCUGAGGAAGGCAAUAAUAUUUGGUUAUGGACCAUUCAGGCCUUGGAUGUCAAUAGCUCAUUGGUUGAUUUGGCACUUCGAUUUGAAAAAGUUCAGACCUUCUGAAGUUGGAAGGGUGAAGAUCAGUUUAGCAUGUGUAUUUGCGUUUAUGGCUAUCGGAUGGCCAUUGAUUGUCUAUAAGGCAGGGAUCAUAGGAUGGAUCAAGUUUUGGCUCAUGCCGUGGUUGGGAUAUCACUUUUGGAUGAGCACCUUUACAAUGGUCCAUCAUACUGCUCCUCAUAUACCAUUCAAAACAUCAGAAGAGUGGAAUGCUGCUCAGGCACAACUUAACGGCACAGUUCACUGUAACUAUCCUCGUUGGAUUGAGAUCCUAUGUCAUGAUAUCAAUGUGCAUAUUCCGCAUCAUAUUUCUUCUAGGAUACCAAGUUACAACCUCCGGGCAGCUCAUAAGUCACUCCAAGAAAAUUGGGGAAAGUAUCUCACUGAAGCCAACUGGAAUUGGCGUCUGAUGAAGACAAUAAUGACUAUGUGCCAUGUAUAUGACAAGGAGCGAUAUUAUGUGCCAUUCGAUGACAUUGCUCCUGAAAAUGAGUCGUACCCAAUCAAACUCCUCCAAAAAGCCAUGCCUGACUAUGCAUGAUACUUAGAUGCUGCUUUUGGAUCCUCUCAUCUCUUUGUCAUCCAAGCAGCAGUAAGAUGCAAGACACGAUUGUUUGUAUAUACAGCUCUUUACAUAAGAUUUUGUUAUGGAUGGUUGCCAUCAGAAUGACAUUCAUUGAAAUGGUUAUUUGCUUGUUAAUUGUGCUGAGUUGUGAUGGCCAAGUGUGCUAAGCGUAAUGUUCAAGGUGUGCGAAGUGAUUUUCAGGAAACUGCAAGACUGUUUUCCAUAAUUCAGCUUCAUUCAUUCCUACACCAUGUUGCCCUUUGAUAUAUGGAGAAUCUUAGCUCGAUGAUGUCAAAGCUGAAAAGUUUACGGAAUGCUGUUUCCUUCGGCUCGUGCAUGAGGUUCCAACCAAUGCAAAGUCGUAGAACUAGCGGUUUUAGUAAAUGAGUACACCUGCAAAUCAGGAGAAUAUUUGGACUUGUUCUGUUGCACCUUCUGUUUCUGCAUCAGUAUAUUUCACUUGAUUCUAAUGUUUGAUAAACUAAACCAGGAUAAUGUCAUGUGUUGGAUCUCGGAUAUCAUACGGCAACUUUCCGACCCUCGA